AUGGCAGAGAAGGAUUCAGAUGGACCCUAUACUACUAAAGGGUUUAAUGGGAAAGCUCAGGUAGAGAGUAACCUUCAGAAUUCAGAAAACAGAAAUCUUUGCUCAACAUUCAAAAUGGAAUUUAGUGAGGUCUCUCAGAAUCUUGGGAAAUAUCCACAGUCAUCUGCUUCUUUACACUGCCAUGAGGAAAUAAUUUGGUUCUGUCCAUUUUCAGCUUCUAUUGGCAUGACUCUCCACCCACUUAGAAGGCUCUCUGCUGUGUACUAUCCGGUAUCAUCCAGUGUGUUGGAGGCUAUGGGAAGAUGCAAAGACCUAUUCCUACGAGAGCACCCACAAACUCUGUCCAGCACAGCCUCUCCAGCAGGCCAUACUUUGAACCAUUCUCAUUGCAUUUGAUGUGCUCUACGUAAGUCACUCCCUUUAAGGAAGAGCUUUGAUUCACAUGCCAUAACAAACUGAGACAACUCAUAAAAAAAAAGCUUGUCUGUUAUUCCUGAGCCUGUAAUCCUCAAAACUUAAAUUCUCCAUCGUUUAUUUUCUAGACUUGCUCUCAGUGUAAAUGUGUGAAGCAUCCAAAGGGAAUAGUAGAUGCUGACAGACAGAAAGAUAGCCUGUGAGGAAUGGGGUACCAUACAGAUCACUCUAACACCUGAAGUAAGAGUGUUAUGGAAUAG
rnacentral:lncRNA from 1 species